GACGAACCGUGCGAACGUUGUUCGGAAUCACUGGGCUUAAAGGGCGCGUAGGCGGCAGCGUUAGUCCGGGGUGAAAGCCCCCAGCUCAACUGGGGAAGGGCCUUGGAUACUGCGUUGCUCGAGGGAGGUAGGGGUCGAGGGAACUUCUGGUGGAGCGGUGAAAUGCGUUGAUAUCAGAAGGAACGCCGGUGGCGAAAGCGCUCGACUGGACCUUUUCUGACGCUGAGGCGCGAAAGCUAGGGGAGCAAACGGG
rnacentral:rRNA from 1 species